rnacentral:lncRNA from 1 species
GACUAAAUUAUGCUCUAUCAAAUACCCCCACACUUAGCUUUUUGCUUGUCCUCAAGCAAAUAAACAUAGUCAAAUAAGCUUCCUUUCUCUAGAUCCUUGUUUCCACUUAAACUCUUACUCUAGACACCUAUUUUGAAGCAUUGCAGUGAAGAAUAUAUGCAUGAAGAUUACUUACAUCCUUUCCUCGUUUCUCUUUGCUUACCAUGGCUAGGAUUUGUUUUCCUCAAGAGAGACCAUACAUGCACAUUAUUUGUUAAGACUUUUUUUCCAGCUUUUGGUGUGACUUGCCCUUACCUUGAAGUACUUUAUUCAGGCUUUUGCACUUUAGAUCUUGGAAAGGUCACCAACCUAUUUUUGAUGUAACACUUUUUGAUAUUUCAGUUGGUCACCUAUCCAAGUGGCCACUAGCUCUGUUCAUAGUCUUUCGACCAUUGGAACAAUCUUAGAUUUGUGCUUUUGAGGUCUUUGCCUUUGCUGAAUUUUCUUUCUCUCAAUGAUUUGGGCAAAUCAACACCAAUUGCUAAAUCAAGUCACAUUAAGUUCAUUCACACAAUUUCAGAUUUUUUUCUCAUCAAUUGAGGGUCAUCAAUAUAUUUUUCACCAUGGCAAACUCAAAGAUUCAAUUCAAAAGGCAAUUCUCAAACAUGAAUAUAACUCACUACAAUUGAUUCAACAUAAGUUUAAAGAGUCAUCACAUCAAUGGGGUCAUGGAAAGAAAAGCUCAUCCAACAUAGUUCAUCAGUUUGAGUAGAGCAAAACAAAAAUAAGAAAAUGGUUGUGGUUGUGUGUGUUUUAUUGAAAGCAUAAAAAUAACAAAAAUGAAAAAUUUUUCCUAAUGCAAGCAAACUAAAGAUUAAAGCAAAAAUAAACUUAAAAGUAAAAAUUCAGAGAUAUGCACCCCCACACCUAAAUCAUGCAUUGUCCUCAAUGUAUAAGAAACAUAAAAGAACAAAGGAAACUGAGUACUCCCCUGGGUGUGGUGUGCAUGGUGCGAUCCACUUGAUCAAGGCUCAAGUAAUUGGAGAAGGAAAAAGAGUCCCAACUGCAUUGAGCAAAAAGUGUAGCACUCCUUUUGACUUUGUCAUAGCCCAUCCUACUUUUUCCAUGUACUCAUGAAGUAACAUGAUUAGCUUCUCCUCUUUCAGAUGAGGUGUGCCUCUAGCCUUUAUGUUUGCAUUUUUGAGCACUUCCAACUUCAAUUGAUAUUUCUCCAUGGGUGGCUGCAAUUUAGCAUUAAGUUCAGGCAAAACAAAUUCUACCUUAUCUGGAGGUUUGGGCAGGCAUU